UACGUAGGGGGCUAGCGUUGUCCGGAAUCAUUGGGCGUAAAGCGCGUGUAGGCGGCCCGAUAAGUCCGCUGUGAAAGUCCAGGGCUCAACCCUGGGAUGCCGGUGGAUACUGUCGGGCUCGAGUCCGGAAGAGGUGAGUGGAAUUCCCAGUGUAGAGGUGAAAUUCGUAGAUAUUGGGAAGAACACCGGUGGCGAAGGCGGCUCACUGGCUCAUUUCUGACGCUCAGGCGCGACAGCGUGGGGAUCAAACAGG
rnacentral:rRNA from 1 species